rnacentral:rRNA from 1 species
CCUACGGGUGGCAGCAGUGGGGAAUCUUCCACAAUGGGCGAAAGCCUGAUGGAGCAACGCCGCGUGGGUGAAGAAGGUCUUCGGAUCGUAAAACCCUGUUGUUAGAGAAGAAAGUGCGAGAGAGUAACUGUUCACGUUUCGACGGUACCUAACCAGAAAGCGACGGCUAACUACGUGCCAGCAGCCGCGGUAAUACGUAGGUGGCAAGCGUUAUCCGGAUUGAUUGGGCGUAAAGGGAACGAAGGCGGUCUUUUAAGUCUGAUGUGAAAGCCUUCGGCUUAACCGGAGUAGUGCAUGGGAAACUGGGAGACUAGAGUGCAGGAGAGGAGAGUGGAACUCGAUGUGUAGCGGUGAAAUGCGUAGAUAUAUGGAAGAACACCAGUGGCGAAGGCGGCUCUCUGGUCUGUAACUGACGCUGAGGUUCGAAAGCGUGGGUAGCAAACAGGAUUAGAUAUCCGGGUAGUC